AGUGAACGCUGGCGGUAGACCUAACACAUGCAAGUCGAACGGCAGCACAGUAAGAGCUUGCUCUUACGGGUGGCGAGUGGCGGACGGGUGAGGAAUACAUCGGAAUCUACUUUUUCGUGGGGGAUAACGUAGGGAAACUUACGCUAAUACCGCAUACGACCUACGGGUGAAAGCAGGGGAUCUUCGGACCUUGCGCGAUUGAAUGAGCCGAUGUCGGAUUAGCUAGUUGGGGGGGUAAAGGCCCACCAAGGCGACGAUCCGUAGCUGGUCUGAGAGGAUGAUCAGCCACACUGGAACUGAGACACGGUCCAGACUCCUACGGGAGGCAGCAGUGGGGAAUAUUGGACAAUGGGCGCAAGCCUGAUCCAGCCAUACCGCGUGGGUGAAGAAGGCCUUCGGGUUGUAAAGCCCUUUUGUUGGGAAAGAAAAGCAGCAGGUUAAUACCCCGCUGUUCUGACGGUACCCAAAGAAUAAGCACCGGCUAACUUCGUG
rnacentral:rRNA from 1 species